AUACUUACCUGGCAGGGGAGAUACCAUGAUCACGAAGGUGGUUUUCCCAGAGUGAGGCUUAUCCAUUGCCCUCCGGAUGUGCUGACCCCUGCGAUUUCCCCAAAUGUGGGAAACUCGACUGCAUAAUUUGUGGUUCACACUUUCCUCCGGAAAAAA
ensembl:snRNA U1 U1 spliceosomal RNA